UACGAAGGGGGCUAGCGUUGUUCGGAAUUACUGGGCGUAAAGGGCGCGUAGGCGGUGUGUCAAGUCAGGCGUGAAAGCCCCGGGCUCAACCUGGGAACAGCGCUUGAGACUGGCACGCUCGAGUUCGGGAGAGGAUGGUGGAAUUCCCAGUGUAGAGGUGAAAUUCGUAGAUAUCUGGAGGAAUACCGGUGGCGAAGGCGGCAUCCUGGACCGACAUUUGACGCUGAGGAGCGAAAGCUAGGGGAGCAAACGGG
rnacentral:rRNA from 1 species